GACAGCGUGCCAGAGUGGUUAAUGGGUAUGACUCGAACGAGUUUAUCUACUAGAUAUCAUAUGGCUUCGGCCGCGCAGGUUCGAAUCCUGCCGCUGUCG
rnacentral:tRNA from 1 species